AUGUUUAAAGAUUUUUUUAAUCUAUAUAUCUAUUUCAUCACUUUUUUUAAAAACUCAGCCAUCUUUUUCAUCACAGGUGAGAUUAGUGCAACCUUGAUCGCAUCGCAAAAGUUUCUUUUUUUACAAAAGUUAUUAAUAGAAAUUAACUCUAUUAAUAAAACAUUGAUUUUGGGACACACCAUAUUAUUAACUUCCCCAUAUUGA